AGGUAUUUGAUAACUCCUUUCCUACAAAAAAGCAUUCCAACCCCAAAGGGAAUAAGACAGCUCAUUUAUUUGCUGAGCAGGACUGGAGGCAGCACAGACGGAGAAGAUGCCCGCCCUGAAGCAGCAGAGACUAAGUUCAGAGCUCCUGCCUGUCUCUCCUACUGUCACUGGCCAUGAUGGUGUAGCGGAAAAGCAGUCAGCAAGGCUUCUUCCUUCUGUGUCCUAAAUGCCCAUCCUGGGAAGUCCCAGAUCCAGGAAUCUCAGAAAACAGCAAGAAGAAUAAAUGCCAAAAACAAACAAAACAAAACUAUCCCUGGGCAGAUCAUAUUCAAAAUUCAGAAAAUUAAAGAUAAAAACAAAUCUUGAAAGAAGCUGGAGGGAGGAAAGUAGGAAACACCCAUAAAGGAGCCAAGUUGGCUCCUUUAGGGAAAAAGAAUGUUUGAAGUUAACCUGGGGAAACAGUGCUUGAACUCAACCCUCUGUACGCUGCAUUUAAACCUUUGAAGCCCAGAUACCAAAUGGAAUAUAAUGGCGUAUGUUUUCAUGUUUCCUGGGAGUUGGUGAGGGGUACUGAGAAGAGCCUGGAAUCUAACAUCUGUUGGGACUAAGUUCAAAUUCAUGUCUACAGGAGGUGCCUUCACCUUUCUGAACCAUUUCCACCUCUGAAAAAUGGAAGUAAUCAUCCCUACCUCCAAGGGCUGCUAUAAGGAUGGAAUAAGACAGUGAAGGUAAAACCUCUGCCACCCUCCUUCCUUCCCCUCCUACAGUUUCACCACUGCUUCUUGAAGCAUAUAGAGAAACGGAAAAGCAAAUUCCCAAAAUCUACAAGCUGUUUAACGAUCAGCUUUGACCUAAUUCUACUUCAAAGUGUUUGCUUCUCUUACCUCCCACUACCUCCCACCCAGCUGCCAAGUGUAAAGAACUCAUGAAAACUUAGGCCAAAUGGGAACCUGGAAUA